CUCGUACCUGUGGAAAAAAACAACAAAAUAAAACUUGAACCCUACCCUGGUUGCCAUGAUAACUUGUGUACAAAGUCAGGUGAGCGCGUCGCACAAGAAUUGUGGGAGAAGUUAGUGGAACCAAUAAUAAAAAGCUGACUCAGCAUUCAGGCCAGUUAACCACUGUUUGUUUUUAAAUCAAGUUCAACUGCUGAUCCAGCAUUGUACACCAGAGGGAGCUGCUGCUGAAGCUGCUGCUGCUCAGACUCAUCUGAAGACUCAACAGGAUUCUCACACCAUCAAGGACUUUUCCAGGACCAAGUCCUUGAAACUCAAGGACUGAAUGUGCUGACUGAAGACGGGAGGACAACAUGUAAGAGCUCGUCUUCGUUCGUCGUCCUCGCUCUUGUGAUGUCCCCACGUCUGUCCUGCAUCAGCCUCGUCUACGUACAUCAAACAGUGCAGGGCGUGAACAGUAGGUGGCGUCGUAAACAAACAAGGGAGACAUUUACCUAAAUAUCAACUUCACUUCUUUAUGCACAAAACUCAACGACCCUCAAUUUCAAUGACCCAAGUCUAUUUAGCGACUUUUUUGAAAAACUUUCAAGGUCCUUGAACAUAUAUAUAUUUUUAAAUUCAUUCAAGGACUCAUGGGAACUCUGAUCAGAGCUUUUAUAGCUUUGAUUUUUACAGGACUAAUUUUUCACUAUUUGCAGUUGAUGUUAAUUGAUGUUGAUGUUUAAUCACUCACUCACAGUUGUAAUAACAUGGUCCUGGUCUGGUGUGUUGAUCAGAGUCCUGGUUUAAGGUUUAGACCAUGGACUCUGCAUAGUUUUUUUAAAUCACUUCCACAGAAACAAUGAAUGUGUUUGUUUUCAUUGAAAAAAGUGCUGACAAGCUCAGAUUUGUGAUCUUUGCAGGUGAAGAACGAAGCCCAGAGGCAGGACAAGGAUCUUCAGAGCCUGACACAGCCUGCAGAGCCUCCACCACUGCCAAACUACUCAUGUGUCAGGAAUCCAUGAACUCACAGGACCAGCAGGGGGCGUCAUUGUCACUCCUGUGGCAGCAGGGUUAGGUUUCUCUCUGAAGGACAAUGGUCCUUGUGAGACUCACUGAAGGAAUGUAGACUCUGCUAUCCUGAGAAUCAUGUCCUCAGUGGUUAAAUAAAUACUUUUAUUUUUUAUUUUUAACAUCCUGACUUCAAUCUUAACAAUCCCAACUUGAUUCUUUAUUUUUCAAAUUCUCACUUAAAUCUUCAAAUCCUGACUUAAUUUUCUAAAAACCUGACUCAAUUUUGUAAAAUCCUGACUUUAUUGUGUAAAAUCUUGACUUUAUUUUGUAAAAUCCUCACUCUAUUUUGUAAAAUCCUCACUCUAUUUUGUAAAAUCCUCACUCUAUUUUGUAAAAUCCUCACUUUAUUUUGUAUCUUGUGGUCAGAUUGGCGCGUGGGCGGAGCCUUACAGCAUGCCGUGGAACAGAAGAACAGAGGCGCUUGUGUGUUUUCAUGGACUCGCUCUUUUUAUUGGUCACAUGCUGCUGUGAACACAUGAUGGAGGCGGAGUCUGCCUUUGGUCCUGAGCUCACCGGUUCAGGUAGGAAGAGGACGUGGACGUCUUUGAGGACACCACCGUCCCAUCGACCACCUCUUCCACCACCACCACCCGCUUGGUGGUGGUCUUGGUCGUGGAGGAGGUGCUGAUGCUGUGGACCAAUCAGAAAACAGCUGAGUCAGACUGACAUGUUCACUCAUUCAUAAACUCAUUCACAUCAUUCAGUCAUUAAAAAUAUAUAUAUAAUAUUAUAUUGUCAUUAACACACUGAGUUACUUUAUUACUAAAAGUACUAAAUAUUUUAAUAUUUAUAAAAUAUAUUUUAAUAAUUAACAAUUGGAAGUUCUAUGAGUUACAGUCAGUGCUGACUCAGCACUCACUCUCCCACACACACACAUACUCUCCCACACCAAACCUCAUAGAGAAAAUCAGUGAUUUAACAUCACACACACAGGAGUUGUUGAUCCACUGCUGCCUCUAUCACUAAGUUCAAAUGUCUUAUUUUGUCACUUCAGCUUUUAAAAUAUUCCAUUUAGACUUAACUUAGUGACACAAAGUGACCACAUGAGGUAGCAGAGGACCAGCAGCUUCUGUGUCCGCGCAGCUAAAAUCACUGGUUUUCUCUCUGGGGUUUGGUGUGGGAGAGUGAGUGGUUUACAAACAGUGAGAUAAAGACGUGGUCAUGUGACGUAGAGAUCACAGACUUAAACUGACGUAGUAGAAAGUCUUUUAGUCCAUUUUCGGCAGCCAUUCUGUUUUUCCUCAGAGUGAGCCUGUGUCUCUGUCAGCAGGUGGCACUCACAGCUCACUCAGUAUCUCAUACCACCCCCCUUUUAGAAUAAUUAAUAUCUAAUUUAGUUAUUUAAUUACUUUACUGAGUCUGAAUAUUUAUAUUUAAAUUGACUUUAGCUCCUGAAUUUAUUCCUUAAAACUUUAAACUAGGGAUGUCCCGAUACAACUUUUUCACUUCCGAUACGAUACUGAUAUUGCAGCCUUGAGUAUUAGCUGUUACCAAUAUUGAUCCGAUACGAUAUCUGCACGAAUCAUACAUACUUUAAUGACUUAUCUUGUAGUGUGGAAUGUUAGAACAGUCUUGAUCAAGUGAUAUUACUUAAACAGAGAACAAUAGUCAGCAACAGUAGGUAUGAGACAAACUGACCAUUUAUUAUUAACCAAUGGUUACAUCAAUUUUAACCUUCAACAUAAGAAUAUUGGAUUUUUUGCCAUGUUAAUUUCAUACAGUCUAUGGUUCAUUUCAUCAGGAGGAACCAAGUACCAAGUGCUAAUGGGGGUGUUUUCAGAGCAGCUGUGUUUCACAGGUGUUUUCAGAGAACACCCCCCUUGUUUUCACUAUUUUAGAUUAGCCUAACCCACUCUGCAGGUUUACUCGUCCUGCAGGUAAACCCGGAGCCCGGGGACCGGCCCCACAGACGUACUUAGCUCCGUGUGUGGAGCUUCAAAACACAUUUAAAACACACAAAGCUCUUGGCAUGGCUGGUUUUUGGGGUAUAAUUAACAAACGGAGGCUUUUGAAAGUCAACAGGUGGCGCUGGUUUAUGAAAUAAUGUUGUUUUAGCAGAUCGCCUCAGGAUGAGCUAGCGUGUUGCUAAAGGCUAGCAUGCGCUUGCUGUGCGGCUUCAUAGCCUCUGAUUUCAGGGUUAAAGAAAAUGUUUAACCUCUGAAUUAGCAGUAGCACACACACACUGUUGUUGUGCAACGGGCUCUGCUGGAUAGAAGAGCUGGAGCGGAAUGUUGUAUCGGAGCACUUAUAUCAGAGAUUUUAGAGGCAGUCCGAUCUCAUCCGAUACUCGUUUUUUGGCCGAUAUCGGACCGACAUCUAUAUUGGAUCGGGGCAUCCAUAGUUUAAACAUAAAAAUAAAACUAUCCUAACUUUAUUCCCGACUGAAGGACAUGAGCUGAUGACUGCUCGUCAUGACGUCAGGUGAUGAGCUCACCUCUCUCCGUCCAGCAGCCUCCUGUACUCGGCGAUCUCCAGCUCCAGUCUGGUCUUGAUGUCCAGCAGCAUCUUGUACUCUUGUCCCUGUCUCUCCAGGUCAGCCCUCAGCUGCACCAGCUGCUCCUCCAGAGACGACACCUGCACGAGGAAGAAGAGCGGGUCAGUCUUCAUCACACUGAAGCCACGCCUUUCAAAUCUAGCUUAGAUCAAACUGGGCUUCACCUGCAUCUGGUAUCCAGAGAGCUGCAUGGCAUAGCGGUUCUGUGUCUCAGCCAGAGAAGCUUCCAGUGACGCUUUCUGCAGAGGAAACCAGAUCAACUUCAAACACGGUCUCAUACUUUGUACAACUGUAGAUAUGAUCAAAUCCACAAGGAUUGAAGUUUCCAACACCAAACCUCAUAGAGAAAAUCAGUAAUUUUAGCUGUUGGGACCACAGGUUUUCUCUCUGGGGUUUGGUGUGGGAGAGUGAGUGGUUUACAGACCAGACGUCUGUCUGUCUAACAGUGAGAUAAAGACGUGGUCAUGUGACAUAGAUUUUAUUAAUGUGUGACAGUUAAGUCUCUGUGGCUGUUGCUGGUUCUCAGCAGCAGGGGGCGCUCACCAUGCCUAACAUGGACUGCAGCUCGAUCUGCAGUGACUGCAACGUCCGUUUGACCUCUGUGACCUCUGAGCGUGACGUCUGCAGCGAAACCGUCUGAUUGGUGACCUCCUUAGUCAGAGUCUCCGUCUGCACACACACACACAGGUCAGUCAACUUUAUUACAGCAUUAGCAUUUUUGUUAGCGUUACUGUUAGUGUUAAUGUUUGUGUUAGCGUUAGUGCUAAUGUCAGCAUUAGUGUUUGUGAUAGCGGAAGUGCUAAUGUCAGCAUUAGCAUUAGUGUUAGCGUAGCUGUGUCACCUUGGUCUGAAACCACGCCUCCAGCUCCCGUUGGUUCUUGGCCGAAAUGGCCUCGUAGUGUUCUCUGAUCUCUGCCAUGACCUUUGUCAGGUCCUGAGCUGGAGCCGCGUCCACCUCCACGUUCACCUGACCGCUCAUCUGAGCCCGCAUGGCCAGCAGCUCCUGUACACACAGAGAGAGAGAGAGAGAGAGUCUAUGUCACUCUAUCACCAACAAACAUCACUGCUCAUUGAAUGAAAAUAUUGAUGACUCGUGACUUUUGGUGACGUGAAUAUUGAUAACUCAUGAAUUGAUGACUCGUGAAUAUUGAUGACUCAUGAAUUUUGGUGACUUAUGAGUAUUGAUGACUCGUAAGUAUUGAUGAUUCGUGAGUAUUGAUGACUCAUGAGUUUUGAUGACUCGGAAGUGUUGAUGACUCGUGAAUAUUGAUGACUCUUUAAUAUUGAUAACUCAUGAAUUGAUGACUCGUGAAUAUUGAUGAGUCGUGAAUAUUGAUGACUCAUGAAUUUUGGUGACUUAUGAGUAUUGAUGACUCGUAAGUAUUGAUGAUUCGUGAGUAUUGAUGACUCAUGAGUUUUGAUGACUCGGAAGUGUUGAUGACUCGUGAAUAUUGAUGACUCUUUAAUAUUGAUGACUCGUAAGUAUUGAUGAUUCGUGAGUAUUGAUGACUCAUGAGUAUUGAUGACCCAUGAGUUUUGAUGACUCGUAAGUGUUGAUGACUCUUUCAUAUUGAUGACUCGGAAGUGUUGAUGACUCGUGAAUAUUGAUGACUCUUUAGUAUUGAUGCCUCGUGAGUAUUGAUGACUUGUGAGUUUUGGUGACUUGUGAGUAUUGAUGACUUGUGAAUAUUGAUGACUCGUGAAUAUUUGUGAUUGAUUACUGACCUCCUCGUGGUUCUUCUUGAGGUAGAGCAGCUCCUCCUUCAGGCCUUCGAUCUGCAGACUCAGGUCAGCCUUGGCCAGGUUCAUCUCUUCCAGAACUCUCUUCAGUCCGGCGAUGUCGGCUUCCACUGACUGACGCAUGGCCAGCUCGUUCUCGUACCUGAGG